AAACUUUCAACAACGGAUCUCUUGGUUCUGGCAUCGAUGAAGAACGCAGCGAAAUGCGAUAAGUAAUGUGAAUUGCAGAAUCCAGUGAAUCAUCGAAUCUUUGAACGCACAUUGCGCCCGCCAGUAUUCUGGCGGGCAUGCCUGUUCGAGCGUCAUU
rnacentral:rRNA from 1 species